rnacentral:rRNA from 1 species
GACGAACGCUGGCGGCGUGCUUAACACAUGCAAGUCGAACGAUGAACCCGGAGCUUGCUCCGGCGGAUUAGUGGCGAACGGGUGAGUAACACGUGAGCAACCUGCCCUUGACUCUGGGAUAACUGCUAGAAAUGGUAGCUAAUACCGGAUACGACCCUCGGCGGCAUCGCCAGGGGGUGGAAAGAAUUUCGGUCAAGGAUGGACUCGCGGCCUAUCAGCUAGUUGGUGAGGUAACGGCUCACCAAGGCGACGACGGGUAGCCGGCCUGAGAGGGCGACCGGCCACACUGGGACUGGGACACGGCCCAGACUCCUACGGGAGGCAGCAGUGGGGAAUAUUGCACAAUGGGCGCAAGCCUGAUGCAGCAACGCCGCGUGAGGGAUGACGGCCUUCGGGUUGUAAACCUCUUUUAGUAGGGGAGAAGCGAAAGUGACGGUACCUGCAGAAAAAGCACCGGCUAACUACGUGCCAGCCGCCGCCGUAA